rnacentral:rRNA from 1 species
UACGUAGGGUGCGAGCGUUGUCCGGAGUUACUGGGCGUAAAGCGUGCGUAGGCGGUUUUGUAAGUUUGGUGUGAAAUCUCCCGGCUCAACUGGGAGGGUGCGCCGAAAACUGCAAGGCUGGAGUGUGGGAGAGGUAGGCGGAAUUCCUGGUGUAGCGGUGAAAUGCGUAGAUAUCUGGAGGAACACCGGUGGCGAAGGCGGCAUCCUAGACCGACAUUGACGCUGAGGCACGAAAGCGUGGGGAUCAAACAGG